ACAGGCCUCCUGAACGUGCAUUGCGCUCUUGGGAUAUGCCUGAGAGCAUGUCUGCUUCAGUGCUUCUAC
rnacentral:rRNA from 1 species